UACAGAGGUCUCAAGCGUUGUUCGGAUUCAUUGGGCGUAAAGGGUGCGUAGGUGGCGCCGUAAGUCGGGUGUGAAAUUUCGGAGCUUAACUCCGAAACUGCAUUCGAGUACUGGCGUGCUUGAGGACUGGAGAGGAGACUGGAAUUCAUGGUGUAGCAGUGAAAUGCGUAGAGAUCAUGAGGAAGACCAGUGGCGAAGGCGGGUCUCUGGACAGUUCCUGACAGCUGAGGCACGGAAGGCCAGGGGAGCAAACGGG
rnacentral:rRNA from 1 species